UGAUCCUGGCUCAGAUUGAACGCUGGCGGCAGGCCUAACACAUGCAAGUCGAGCGGCAGCGGGAAAGUAGCUUGCUACUUUUGCCGGCGAGCGGCGGACGGGUGAGUAAUGCCUGGGGAUCUGCCCAGUCGAGGGGGAUAACUACUGGAAACGGUAGCUAAUACCGCAUACGCCCUACGGGGGAAAGCAGGGGACCUUCGGGCCUUGCGCGAUUGGAUGAACCCAGGUGGGAUUAGCUAGUUGGUGAGGUAAUGGCUCACCAAGGCGACGAUCCCUAGCUGGUCUGAGAGGAUGAUCAGCCACACUGGAACUGAGACACGGUCCAGACUCCUACGGGAGGCAGCAGUGGGGAAUAUUGCACAAUGGGGGAAACCCUGAUGCAGCCAUGCCGCGUGUGUGAAGAAGGCCUUCGGGUUGUAAAGCACUUUCAGCGAGGAGGAAAGGUUGGUAGCUAAUAACUGCCAGCUGUGACGUUACUCGCAGAAGAAGCACCGCUAACUCC
rnacentral:rRNA from 1 species